UACGAGGGGUGCAAGCGUUGCUCGGAAUUAUUGGGCGUAAAGGGUGGGUAGGUGGUCUCAUUUGUCUGGGGUGAAAUCCUUGAGCUUAACUCAAGAAGUGCCCCAGAAACGGUGAGACUGGAGUCUUGGAGAGGGUCGUGGAAUUCCCGGUGUAGCGGUGAAAUGCGUAGAUAUUCGGAGGAACACCAGUGGCGAAGGCGGCUCACUGGCUCGGUACUGACGCUGAGGUGCGAAAGCGUGGGGAGCAAACAGG
rnacentral:rRNA from 1 species